UACAAGCGCUUGGAACCGGGCGCGGGAAAGUUUCGAGUGAUAUUUACCUGCUCAUUAACUGUGUUUUAGUAUUUGAUAUUAGAACGCAAGGUUUUCAUCGGUAAGAGUCGAAAAAAGCGUACUCGUUUAUGCCUGGUCGUCGACGCCACGCAUAUAAAUGGUGGUACGCGCCCAGAAAUAACUGAUCAAGUUAAUGCAUUUCCGCGGCGAAGGCGAAAAGCAGGCUAGCUUCCACUCAGAGAUAGCGACCAAGACCUACACAAACAGUGGAAUGAACAGCAGCCAGGGAGGCCGGCCGAGGCGGCCGCGGAGCUCCAACGCGCCCCACUCGGGCGGCGGCUCCAGACACGGUCGGCCGCGGGACUCUCGUGGCAGUCAGGACCGGCCGCCGGCAGAGGCCUCAGGGGUGUACGCCAACGCCCAGUACGCGCACGCGCUCACCUCCAUCCUGGGAUGCCCCGUGCGGGUGACCACAACGAACAACGAAGUGUUCGAGGGCAUUCUGAAGGCGCUGUCGAAGGAGAACAACUUCGUGCUGGGCAUGGUGCACCCGCUGAACCGAGAGGAGCCGAAGCGGAUCGACCCGCGUGAGGUCCGCGAGGAAUGUAUUUUCCUCGGCGAGCAAGUGGCUCAUGUGACUGUCACCAAUGUGGACAUGGAGUACGCAACCAAAAGCGGGUUCCAGACUGACGGCGCCAUCACGGGCCGCACCAACGGCUCUGCCGGGCACAAGGAGCUGCAGCCGUGGAUCGCUGACGAUGCCGCCACCGACCACCUGGUCUCUCUGGACGAGGCGAACGGCUGGGACGCGCGGGACAUGUUCCGCAUGAACGAGAAGAAGUACGGCGUCCGCUCGACGUUCGACCAGACGCUGGCCGGCUACACCACGCCGCUGGAGCGCGUCUCGCACGACCAGCACGAGCGUGCCGCGCGCAUCGCGCACGAGAUCGAGCGCUCGAGCACCUCCCGUCAUCGCGCCGACGCCGAGAAUGGAGACGAGGAGGCGGCGUUCGCGGCGGUGUCGCGGCCCGGCCAGGACGGCCGCGGAGACCGCUACGUGCCUCCCGCGCGCCGGCCGGUCCGUGAGAUGCGCGAGCCGCCGCGUGGGGGACCGCGCGGACCGCCGCCGGGCGCCGGAGGACCGCGCGGUCCACGGCCCGGCUCGGCCGGCGGACCGCCGCAUCAGCAGCAGCGCCAGACGCACCACGGCCGGCCCGGCUCCGGGCGUACUCCCAGCCGGGGCCGCGAGGACCGCACGCCGGACGGGCCCCUGCCGCACGGACCCACCGUGCCGCCGGCCCAGAGUCCCAGCAGAGAGCAGGAGCCAGCGCCGGAGACGGCCGCAGCCUCGCCAGCUGAGCAGCGCGGCGAGCCCCGCUCCCAGCCGGCCCAGUCCCCCCGCGGCCCGGCAAAGACGCUGGCGGGUCUGAAGGACUUCCAGGAGAAUUUUGUCCUGUCGGAGGAGGCCUCAUCGGCUGCCGCACCGGCGGCUCCCGUACCCGCAGAGAAACAGGAUAAACCCGAGAAGCCGGAACCGGCCCGCGGUGAGGAGGGCUCCAGUCCCGCACCGCCCACCGGCGCGGCGGCCGCCGAGACUUCACCCGGCGAGACGGCCGCGCCAGCUGCGGGUGGCACUCCGACGACCCCGGCCACCAUCCCGGCUCCAGAGGAUACCAACAAGCUAGCCGAGUCGCUCUCCAAGUCGAAACUGAACCCGAACGCCAAGGAGUUUACCAUGAACCCCAACGCGAAGGCCUUCACCCCUUUCACGCCGCCAACGGUGUCAAUGGCAAUGGGUUAUUCGCCGGAGCCAGCGCGCGCCAUGACCCCUCAGACGGCUCCGCUGUCACUCAUCUCAUCGCCGGGCCAGCCGCCGUUCAACUACAUCAUGGGCCCGCAGUCGUUCGCGGCGCCUCAUCAGAUGCACCAGCCGCCCCGGCCGCACAAACAGAGAGGAGGGGAGUACCCGAUGGGCGGCGUGGCGCACCGUCCCGAGGCGUCACCGAUCCAGGUGGCCGCCGUCACCGGGCCUCCCCUGAUGGCCACCUCGCCGCUGUCGGGCCACCCGCCGGGACAGCAUGUGGGCGUGCCAAUGCCGCCCAACAGCAUGAUGCCGCACGGCUACCCGGCGCCGGGACAGCAGGUGUUUUUCCGCAUGAUGCCGACCUCGCACGCGGCGAUGUACCAGCAGCAGCCGCAGCCGAUGCCGCCGCCGCACCAGCAGCAGCCGGGUCCGCAGCACCAGCAGCACCCGGGCCCGGCCGGCGGCUACGACGGCCAGCCGGGGCCGCCGCCGGCGCCGCACCAGACGCUCGGCUACAGCAUGGUGCCGCCACCACGCCCACCUCGUCUCAGAUGCCGAUGGGCGUGCCGAUGACGCCGCAGCAGUACUAUAACUUCCAGCAGGCGCAGGGCCACCACCCCGGCCAGCCACCGCAGCCGCCGCAGCAGCAGCCUUACGGUCCUGGCUCGGGUCAUCCCAUACCGCUAGUGCCUCAUAUGAACCCGUGACGCUGACGUAUGCGCCGCUAGACGCGGAAAAGGGACUCAGUGCAACGCGAACCGGCCGGGGGAAGAGGGAAGGGAUGGGUGGGGAGGGAAGGGACGGGGCGCGCGUGUUUCGACGAGCGAGAGAGAGAGCGAGAGAAAGGGCACGGAGCAACCGUGUGUGUGGCAGAGUGAGUGAGAGGGUGGGUGAGAGCGCGCGCGCCGACCGCCGGGAGGGUGGUGUUUUGUACGAAGCUGCCGUGUGAUCCGUCUGAGGUGCGUUCUGUCCGGUGUGCGUUCUGUCCAGACAGUCCAUUGCGCGGCGCGGCGCGGUGUGAGCUCGGAGAGAGCUCCGAGAGAGGUGCAGGGAGCUGCGAGUUUUGUUGAUCGCCACGGCAGACUGCGCACUGCUGCGGCGGAGGCCCGUUAGCCGCCGCCGGGCGGGCCGAACUGAACCAGGGAGUGGCGCUCGAGGGACGCCGCACGGGUGGAGUUUGUACACGCACCAGGACGCGCCGAGAGUGACACGAGCUACUGACGUCAUCAAUGAUGUCAUUGGUACCUAGCGCUGUCACCGGGGCGCGAGGGAAGCGGCUCUAGGAAAUGUGCGCCGCUGUGCCACCCGGUGAUUGUCGUGGCGGCGUCGUUAGCGAAAUAUGCACAGUGAUGUACGCCGCGGCGCGGUCGCGGCGGGAACCACUAGUUCCCCAACUGAGCGCUACGCUGCGCUAGUGUAGCGCCGGCCCGCGGGGCCACUGUCCGCGCCCGAGAAGCGCCUUGAUCCAGACAGAUCUCGAGGUUGACCUGGGCCCAGACGGGCCGACAACCUCUAUAUAGACUAUUCCAGCCUCACCAACCACGAACCAAGACGAGGCACUGCGCUGCCUUUCCCCUGCUGCUCGCACAGAGUAGAGUGCGUCGUAACGAGACCUUCUGUCAC
rnacentral:misc_RNA from 1 species